CCCUACAACAGUGAAAUCAACAAUGACUUGUGUCAGGAGAAAUCUUUAACUUAUUAUUUAUUACAAGAUAUUCUAAUGUUUAAAGAGCAAUCCAACAUAAAUUGAAGAGAUAGGCUGCUGCCAGUGCAUCUUGAAGCUUUUGGCUGAGGAGAAAACACACAAAAUCUGAAAAAAGAUGUUUUUUUUUAUAUGAAAAAUAAGCAGAAGUUUCUGCCAAGCUUACCUUUCCCUUCAUCACAGAAACAUGAUGCCCAGGUGUCCUGCCCGUGGGUCCCAGCCCUGCUCAUCCAGUGGCAGCCCAUCCUAUUUGCAAAUUACUCAAGUGGAAACAUGUGCCAAACACUGACCCUGUGAACUUGGACACAGAAGCAGUCUGAGUUGCAUCAAGUGUGAAUCAAGGGUGCCUAUGAAGGGUCCCAUAAUUAUCUGCCAAAAUGAAGACCCAGUUCCUGACAAUCCUGCCUGGGAAAUGUUUUCACAGCCUAAAAACUGUUUCUAUUUGUUUCAUGCAUUCUUAUCCGUCACGUAGAAAGAGGCAGCUUGCCGUAGUGGUGGAGAGAACUUCAACUUCAGUGUCAAACCCAUAAUCAUGUCCCACCACUGUCCUUCACUGUGGUGUCAUUAAAGGAAGUGUCAGAAGCCA